GACGAACGCUGGCGGCGUGCUUAACACAUGCAAGUCGAACGGAAAGGCCCUGCUUUUGUGGGGUGCUCGAGUGGCGAACGGGUGAGUAACACGUGAGUAACCUGCCCUUGACUUUGGGAUAACUUCAGGAAACUGGGGCUAAUACCGGAUAGGAGCUCCUGCUGCAUGGUGGGGGUUGGUAAGUUUCGGCGGUUGGGGAUGGACUCGCGGCUUAUCAGCUUGUUGGUGGGGUAGUGGCUUACCAAGGCUUUGACGGGUAGCCGGCCUGAGAGGGUGAGCGGCCACACUGGGACUGAGAUAAGGCACAGACUAGUACGGGACGCAGCAGUGGGGAAUAUUACACAAUGGGCGGAAGGCUGGUGCAGCAACGCCGCGUGCGGGAUGACGGCCUGCGGGUUGUGAACCAAUGUCGCCUGUGACGAAGCGUGAGUGACGGUAACGGGUAAAUAAGCACCGGCUAACUACGUG
rnacentral:rRNA from 1 species